UCUCUCUCUCUCUCUCUCUCUCUCUCUCUCUCUCUCUCAUAAUGUUGUUCCCCAUGCUUUCCCUUCUCUCUCUCAUCAUGCAUGUCCUUAGUUUUGCAUGAAUGCCACUUGUUCCAUACUGCCCUUUCGUCUUUUUUUAAAUAGAACCCUUCCCUUCCAUCUCAAGAGCUUUGGCCCUCUCUCCCUCCCACGUUUUGCUCUCUCUCCCUCAAAAAGAAUACUUAGAGCUUCAAGCUUUGGGAGCUUGACCUUGAGGAGGAGCUUGGUGCAGGGUAAACUUGGAGUUGUUGUGAAAUAAGUGGAUCUCUACCCCCUUGCACCAAGUUGUAUGAGGCAUGAAUUAAAGCAUGAAUAAAGUUAAAUGG
rnacentral:lncRNA from 1 species